UACGUAGGGUGCGAGCGUUAAUCGGAAUUACUGGGCGUAAGCGUGCGCAGGCGGUUUUGUAAGCCAGAUGUGAAAGCCCCGGGCUCAACCUGGGAAUGGCAUUUGGGACUGCAAGGCUGGAGUUUGGCAGAGGAGACUGGAAUUCCUGGUGUAGCAGUGAAAUGCGUAGAUAUCAGGAGGAAUACCGAUGGCGAAGGCAGGUCUCUGGGCUAUAACUGACGCUCAUGCACGAAAGCGUGGGGAGCAAACAGG
rnacentral:rRNA from 1 species